AUGUCUUUCACUUUACUCUUUCUCGAGCUUCCACUGAAAUUAUCGACGAACUGAACACGAAGAGCUAAAGGUGAAGAAUUGAUAUCACGAACCCGAAGAUCGAUGAACUGAGCUAAAGGUGAAGAACUGAGCUAGAGAUUUCUUUGAUACUGAAGAUCGAGGAACUGAGAUGAAGCUGAAUAAUUGAAGAAAGACGAACUGAGCUGACGAUGAAGAGCUAAAGCUAAAGAAAUGAAGAGCGGAAGCUGAAGAACUGAAGAUUUGAGCUGAAGAUUUCUCCAAUAUCGGUUUUGUCAAGCGUAAUUACCGAUUUCCUCAAUCUUAAGAUUAAGUAGAAGUGAUUACUUUGGGGUUGUUACAACUGAACUUCCAAAGUAGGAGUAGAAAGUGUCGUAAAUCUCAUCAUCCAUUACCUUGGCAUAUUCAGAGGACGAGAAAGAGGGAACUACUACUCGGAAGCCUUUGAAUCGAAAGGUUUGGAUGAUAAUGACAUGUUCUUGGAGGUAAUUUUAUGGUGGAAUUAUUUCAUAUAAAUAAGAACAAUUGAAUUCUAACUAUUUCUUUGUUACUUGAAUUCCAAAUUUUUUUAUCGCUUCACUAUUUUUCUUGUUUGAUCUUCAAUGGAUGUAAGAUUGAGUCCUCGUAAUGGAUGACGGAGAUAAAAAUCUUUUCCUUCUCCGACGAGCAUUUGUAUAAAUGCUCAUGUAUUUAUGACACAACUUGUGCCUGUGAAUCUUUUUGAAUUUUUUUUAUUUUACCUUAUAUUUUUGUAAUGAUAUGGUGCUGUCAUCGGAGUCCACAACAUAUGAAAUUAAUAUUUUAGGGAUUAAUCUAUGAUUUUCCUUCAAAGCAACCAGCAA